rnacentral:rRNA from 1 species
CAGUAGCCGCGGUAAUACGUAGGGUGCAAGCGUUAAUCGGAAUUACUGGGCGUAAAGCGUGCGCAGGCGGUUUGUUAAGACAGAUGUGAAAUCCCCGGGCUCAACCUGGGAACUGCAUUUGUGACUGGCAAGCUAGAGUGUGGCAGAGGGGGGUGGAAUUCCGCGUGUAGCAGUGAAAUGCGUAGAUAUGCGGAGGAACACCGAUGGCGAAGGCAGCCCCCUGGGCCAACACUGACGCUCAUGGACGAAAGCGUGGGGAGCAAAUAGGAUUAGAUACCCCAGUAGUCCCUGUCUCUUAUAA